CAGCAGCCGCGGGAACACCAGCACCUCGAGUGGUCAGGAGGUUUAUUGGGCCUAAAGCAUCCGUAGCCGGUUGCAUAAGUUUUCGGCUAAAUCUAUGCGCUUAACGUAUAGGCCGCCGAAAAUACUGUGCAGCUAGGGAGUGGGAGAGGUACACGGUACUCGAUAGGAAGGGGUAAAAUCCUUUGAUCUAUUGAUGACCACCUGUGGCGAAGGCGGUGUACCAGAACACGUUCGACGGUGAGGGAUGAAAGCUGGGGGAGCAAACCGGAUUAGAUACCCCCGUAGUCCCUGUCUCUUAUAC
rnacentral:rRNA from 1 species